rnacentral:rRNA from 1 species
UACAGAGGGUGCGAGCGUUAAUCGGAAUCACUGGGCGUAAAGGGUGCGUAGGCGGGAUCUUAAGUCAGAGGUGAAAGCCUGGAGCUCAACUCCAGAACUGCCUUUGAUACUGGGAUUCUUGAGUUCGGGAGAGGUGAGCGGAACUGCGAGUGUAGAGGUGAAAUUCGUAGAUAUUCGCAAGAACACCAGUGGCGAAGGCGGCUCACUGGCCCGAUACUGACGCUGAGGCACGAAAGCGUGGGUAGCAAACAGG